ACACAGCAAAUUCCAUUCCAUAAAAUUUGAUUCGAAGUUGAGAAAUAUUUACAGUGCGAAAGAGAAAUGGCUUCUGGCUGCAACUGUGGUGAUAACUGCUCCUGUGGAGACAGCUGCAACUGUCAAUCCGGAACCAUCACAGCCAUCAUCCUGAAGAAGGGUGGGUGCAGCUGUGGGAGUGGCUGCUCAUGUGACCCAUGCAACUGCUAAGUGAACAAAAUGCCCAAACGACAACAACAAAGCUUCUUAUCCAUAGAAUAAACAGAAUUUGGUGUUCUUUGUCUUGUUCUUUUUCUUGAAAUGUGUAGUGUGAAGUGAAGUGUGUGAUGUUGCUUUGUUGUGGGUGGGCAUUUGGGGUUCAUAUCAGAUCAUCAAAGUUUCUAUGUGUGUUUGAAUUUAUGUUUUAUAUCAAUAUUUGUUUCGUGUCGUAGCA